AUGAACCCAGCCGCCGCCAUCUUCUUCACGGAGGAACGCCGACGCCGCAAGUCCUGCUGCCGCAUGCUUCCUCUCGUCAGAGACGACCCGCAUCGACCGCCGGCGCCCGUCCCGGCCUUCCUCGCUUCCACUCCGUCCUCGUCUGCACCCUGCCUCGCGUGUAUUCGGAUGAGUCCGUGCCUCCCGCCGCUUCCAUCGCCAAACGCCGCCGACCUCCGUUCCGUCCUGCUACUGCCGCCCCGCCAUGCUCCUGGAGCCGCGGCGCUCGCUCGUCCUCAAGGUCGCCAGCGUGCGUCCCGCCAAGCCGUUGCCUUCCUUCGCGCCAUCCCUGUCGCUCGAGUCAUCGUGCCAAGUUCGUCGCGCUGCCCCACCAGAGACCGCCAGCACCAUCGCCGCCCCACUUCCUCUGCUUCGAGGAUGAAAUCAUCGCCAAGAACCGCUCGUCUUGGAGCGUUGACCGCGCCCCCUCCACCUCCUCGUUCGAUCCCGCCAGCGUGGACGAGCGCCAGGGCCCAGCUGCCCCUUGCCCUGCCGCAUGGGCCACCGCAUCAUAGCUGGGCUUGGCCCAUGGCUUCGGUUUCGGUCCGGAGUUGUGAGGAUUCGUUCGACUACGUUCGUUUGUCUUCUUCAUGGACUCGUUCUUCUUUCUUGCGGGAUCUCAGGCAAGAUGAGCAUACCCUAGAAAUCACUUCUAUCUUUGCUUGCUAG
rnacentral:rRNA from 1 species